rnacentral:lncRNA from 1 species
AUACUGGGAGUCACAUUAGUGGGUUAUUUAAUAGUGUCAAUCUACUUCAGAUAGAUGGGAUAAAUCCAAUAAAAUUCAUUUUGCUAAAUGAGUAUAAACCUGGGCUAUUAUUUCCAUUCUUCAUAUUGUUCUUUCUUAGGUGGCUAUGAUAUCCAGACAACAGACUGACUUAUCUUUAUUAAUGUCUUCCUCCUCUUCCUUCUCCCCCCUUUUGCAGAGCUGAUGAUGCUUACAGGACUUUGCUCAUGGUAGGAACUCUACUCCUGAGACACAUGCUCAACCCCUUCCAUUCUCUUUCAAAUUUAAGCCUAAGCCUACUUGCUAACUUUUCAGUCAUUGUUACCAGUCAUGAUCACAGUGGCAAAGCCAGCAGUCAGUACCCAACCCCUCUAUCUGCUAUUUCCCCCAAAUGGCUACUUUGAAAAGUCAGUGUUGUUCUGAAAUCAUGAAAGGGCACAGUAUGUGGGCCAAUAUUGGUAAAGGCCAUUCACUUUUUUCUGUCGUUACCUGUCUUAAGCCUAUUUUAGAUUUUACUUUUAGAUGUGUAUGUGUACCAGAGUUUGUGUGUUCCAGGUGCAGGCAACUACUCACAGUGAGAAGAGAAGAGGGCAUCAGGUCCCCUGGAGCUGGAACAGAAGCUACGAGCUGUGAGCUGUGGGUGCUGGGAACUGAGCCCCAUCCUUUUCCAGAGCAGCAAACUGCUGCAUUUGUUCUAGCCUUACUCCCAUUUAGAAAGUAAUUUCCACAGUAUACAUAGUACUGAGAGGGUUGAAAUCCUCUACCCAGACACCGCAUCCUUUCUCCUUUAUCAGCCUGCUUCUUCACUAAUUUCAUAGCAUUUUUCACACACACACACAAAAAUCUCCGUACUUGACCUACAAACAUGGACUUUAGAGGGCCUGACUAAUGACAGAUAUCCUAUUUAAUCCUUGCUGCAAAACCAUACAAUGUUACUAGGAAGUUUGAUGCAAAAUAUGUAUUACAAUCUUUGUCCUAUCCCACAAUUAAAAAAAACUAGAAACAACAAAUAAGACAAAGAACUAAAACUAUCGUCACUGGGUCGUGAGAUGGCACUGUGGGUAAAGCUGCCUGCUGCCAAAGCUGAGACCUGAGUUCAGUCUGGGGACCCACAUGAUGGAAGUAGAGAACAGACUCCUGCAAGUUGUCCUCUGACUUCCCCAAUGUCCACCAUAGUACACAUGCAUCCCUCCACAAGACUAACAAUUUAAUGUACAUAUACAUGUUACAUAAAUACAGCAAUUUAAUGAACAUGUUUAAAAACAAGCAGAUAUUUUGGUUUACUGUUGUGAUCACACUGCAGCCUAGUUCCUGAGCCCCCAUUUGAUCAGUGCCCUACUCAACCCAGUUCUUCAGAAACAGGAAAAAUGAGGAUAAGAGUCUACUGACCUUAGGGUCAAAGCUGUUAAAGUCGGAGGGAGGGAGGAGACUAGAGUUUCCGUUGCUCUGGAGAGCUUCCAUAAGGUUGUGGAAGUUAGUAAUUAGCAGUCGAUGGUAGGUGAGUUUACAGGAACACCCCUCUUCUAGAACAGAUCUAAAAAGUGUGCUUCCUCUCCUGUUCACAUAGACUUACUGCAUCAUACGUAACACUUAUAUUCUCUUAGAUAUUUUCAAACCACAGAAGGUAGAUCCAAUCUCAAAAUUCCUUUUAUGUAUAUAUCAAAGGUCAUGCAACUAAGAAAUAAUGAAGUGUGUGCUCUUCACAAGAAAAAUACUUUCCAUUCAUACCUUUGAUGUCAGUGUAUUCUUCCUGUCCUGAAUCUUUAACAUUAAAAAACGAUUAAGUCACAAUUUUGGAAUAAAUUCUCAACUACUGUGAACAUGUCAAUUUAAAUAAAAAUACAAUUCAGAGUG